UACAUGCAAGUCGAGGGGUAACAGGGGGCCUAGCCCCGCUGACGACCGGCGCACGGGUGCGCAACGCGUAUACAACCUGCCCCCCGCUGGGGAAUAGCCCAGAGAAAUUUGGAUUAAUGCCCCAUGGCGACCCUGUACGGCAUCGUACUUGGUCCAAAGGCCACGGCCGGGGAUGGGUAUGCGUCCCAUUAGCUGGUUGGUGCGGUAACGGCGCACCAAGGCGACGAUGGGUAGGGGUCCUGAGAGGGAGAUCCCCCACACUGGUACUGAGACACGGACCAGACUCCUACGGGAGGCAGCAGUGAGGAAUAUUGGACAAUGGGCGGAAGCCUGAUCCAGCCAUGCCGCGUGCAGGAAGACGGUCCUAUGGAUUGUAAACUGCUUUUGUACGGGAAGAACAGGGGCCACGCGUGGCCCGAUGACGGUACCGUAAGAAUAAGGAUCGGCUAACUCCGUGCCAGCAGCCGCGGUAAUACGGAGGAUCCGAGCGUUAUCCGGAA
rnacentral:rRNA from 1 species